rnacentral:rRNA from 1 species
UACGAAGGGGGCUAGCGUUACUCGGAUUUACUGGGCGUAAAGGGCGCGUAGGCGGCUUGUACAGUCAGACGUGAAAUUCCUGGGCUCAACCUGGGGGCUGCGUUUGAUACGUGCGGGCUUGAGUUCGGAAGAGGGUCGUGGAAUUCCCAGUGUAGAGGUGAAAUUCGUAGAUAUCGGGAGGAAUACCAGUGGCGAAGGCGGCGACCUGGGCCAAUACUGACGCUGAGGUGCGAAAGCGUGGGGAGCAAACAGG